AGAAGCUUUGGUCCAAACAGAUACACAGAACAUUCAGCCAGACUGCACACGACCAACAGGAGGACAUCCUUCACAAACAGAGUUCAGACCUGCAGUGAAACAGUUUUCAGCUCUUUGUCUUAAAGGAAAUGACACUGUCCCUGGUACUCAGACCUCUCCAACCCGUCCAGGACUCUGGUGUACUCCAGAGCCAACACCCUGUAGGUCUUUCUCAAUAUAGAGAUCCCCAAGUUCAAACUCGAGGACCUGGGAGUCCAAAGUCUGGAGGAUGCAGCUUAGUUUCAACACACCUGUACCUGACUGUGCUGUAACAUCACAUUAACACACCUGUACCUGACUGUACUGUAACAUCACAUUAACACACCUGUACCUUACUGUGCUGUAACAUCAUCAUUAACACACCUGUACCUGACUGUACUGUAACAUCAUCAUUAACACACCUGUACCUGAAUGUGCUGUAACAUCAUCAUUAACACACCUGUACCUGACUGUGCUGUAACAUCAUUCACACACCUGUACCUGACUGUACUGUGAAACUGUCAUCA